rnacentral:rRNA from 1 species
GAUGAACGCUAGCGGCAGGCCUAACACAUGCAAGUCGAAUGGUAACAGCAGAGCUUGCUCUGGCUGACGAGUGGCGCACGGGUGCGUAACGCGUAUACAAUCUGCCUAUUACUGGGGUAUAGCCCGAAGAAAUUUGGUCUAAUACCGCAUACGCCCUUCGGGGGAAAGUAGGGGAUCUUCGGACCUUACACUAUUGGAUGAGCCUGCGUGAGAUUAGCUAGUUGGUGAGGUAAUGGCUCACCAAGGCGACGAUCUCUAGCUGUUCUGAGAGGAUGAUCAGCCACACUGGAACUGAGACACGGUCCAG